rnacentral:rRNA from 1 species
UUUCUAAAUUUAUAAUAGAAUUUUAUUUUUUAGUCAAAAAGCUAAAAUAUAUUUAAAAGACGAGAAGACCCUAUAAAUCUUUAUAUUUAGGUUAUUAUAAUUUUAUAGAUUUUUUUUGUUAUAAUAAUUGAUAAUAUUUUAUUGGGGUGAUAUUAAAAUUUGAUAAACUUUUAAUUGUUUAAAUCAUUAAUUUAUGAAUAAUUGAUCCGUUAUUAGUGAUUAAAAAAAUAAGUUACCUUAGGGAUAACAG